rnacentral:rRNA from 1 species
AUGUUUUGCCUUCUGUGCUCUCUUUCCAAGGACUUUGAGAUGGAAAAGGACACAUUGAUCCAGCUAUGGAUAGCAAAUGGUUUUAUUCAAGAAGAGGGCACAAUGUAUUUGACACAGAAGGGAGAAUCCAUUUUUCGUGAUCUGGUUUGUAGAUCCUUCCUCCAAGAUGUGAAGACAAAGAUACUUUAUUCCGUUGGCACAAGAUAUGAGGCAAUUGGAUGUAAAAUGCAUGAUUUAAUGCAUGACCUAGCGAAAGAUGUAACAGAUGAAUAUGCAACUAUAGAAGAGCUGAUUCAGCAAAAGGCAAUGAUAAAAGAUGUUCGUCACAUGACAACUGUAUAUGCAUGGUCUGAAGCGGAGCAUGUUAGUAGUGCGUUGAAAGACACCAUCUCUCUCCGCACUGUCUUUAAGCCUUUAAUACUACCCAAGAAUUUGAAGGAGUCAGGACUGGAAUCGUUAAGAGUCUUGUGUUGCUGGGAUCCUUCUAUUAUCCAUAAUCGGGUCAUAAAUGGAAAACAUUUGCGGUAUCUGGACCUUUCUAUUUCUGGCAUUAUUAGAAUGCCAAAUUCAAUAUGUUCGCUGUAUAACCUGCAAUCUUUGAGGCUUAAAUGUUGCAGCCUUCUACAACUGUUACCAGAAGGCAUGAGUACUAUGCGGAAGCUUAUCCACCUUUAUCUUUUUGCAUGUGAUAGUUUGGAACAAAUGCCU